UCUAAGAUAAAACAUUUUUAUAAACCCCUUUAACCUUAUCAAAAACUAACAGUCUGGCUUCGUCUUCUUCAAAGAGCCACUUUUGUUCACGAGAUAGAAAUUGAAAGGAUUCAGUUAAGUCUUAAUUUGUAGUGAUUGUUCAUGGCGAUUGUUGCUGCUUCGGUGUGAUCGAUUGAUUCGAUAUUUGAGUAGUUGUCGUAUGUUGUAGAUCUGAAAUGUUAAAUUGUUUCAAUUGGAAUACAUGGUGGUGGUGCAAUUAGUUCAGAAAGUGAUGUCGAUGUCCUCGAUUUGGUGAUGAAUCAAGUGGAUUUAAGAAGUUCUAGAAUUUGUAAGGAUUUAAAAUGAUUGGGUUUGUUCCAAACUCUAAUUAUCAGUGAAGGAGGAGAUGGGUUAGAAGAGACUUUGAGGAUGGUGGCUGCUGUUGAUGGAGCCGUUGAAUUAAAGUUAGUAGUCGGAUACCAAUUUUGAUCUGCUUAUUUAUGGAGUCGCAGUGGUGGGGUCGAUUGGUGUUUCAGGGAAGUUGUAAAAAUGAAUUGCUUCAGGUUAGUACUUAAAUGGAAUGGUGUGUGGAGUGUCGUUGGUGAAUGGUGCGAUACUUUUGGAUGUUUGUUGGUGCUGCUUCUCUAAGCUGGGUAGACAAUUGAAUGGCAGUGGAGGUUAGGCUUUGGGUUGAUUUUUGUAAUAAAUGGAUUAUAUCAAUGGAUGUUUUAGAAUCAGGGGUUUUGGGUGUCUAUUCAACUCAAAUUUACAGGGAAGAAAAGCUUUAAAAUUAGGCACUAAGUGUCGUUAUGAAUCAACUCUUCCUCUAAUUUAUGCACAACAAUUGUUUGAGAAAAGUCUUGAACGUGCUAACUCAGCUAUUUCAUUUGACCCAGCGAUUAAUAACUUGGUGAGUUAGCAGCUGAAAUCGGCGAUUUGAGUCGUUUAUUUAGUGACUCGGUGAUUUGAAGGACUAUACAAUCCACUUAACUAUCUACGUGGAAGAUAACUUUCCGUUGGACGUAACGGUCAAAAGAGGGGUACAUCUGUAAAAUCCAAAAAAACGGGGUACAUUUGAAGACGCACGUAAAAAACAGGGAUACAUUUGUACUUCACCCUUGAUGAUAUCGCUUGGCUGCCAUUGACAAAGAAUCAUAACAGCGGACAUAACAUGAUACGGAGUAUCAUCUUUUCUUUAGCAGCAAAGACGGAAGAGAAAGAUGGUGGCACAAAUUGGAUUUACUCUCUAGUAGAAGAUAACUGUAUUGCUUAUACGGAUUAGAUUUUAGGGUUUAUUUGUUACCCUUGAUUUCAGUUUUAUUAUUUCAUUUAACGGUUCAUCUAGGCAUUUGACUGACCGUAAUUGCUGGCCAACAGACGGCUGUGAUAAGCGAUUGGUACAUGUGGAAGAUUCUAAAAGGUAUGAUCUUCUUCUUAGUGUGAUAAGUGCUAGGUAAACCUAGAACCUUUUGAUGGAGCCGAAAGCCAAAGGCACCCAAACAUUUCAAUUGGGCACAUGCACCAGGUGUGUGGGUUUUGGACUUGUUGCCUAAUGACUAGUGAUUAGUUUUGGAGCAUGCAUUUCUCUAUAACGUCAAAAGAGCUAAACCAGUUACCUAAUCCUUACCAUCAAAGAAACCCGAAUGAAAAUAACUCAAAAACAUGAACACACAGUGUCCACCAUAUCUUCAAGCUAUAUGCCAGUUGAAAGAAGAUUGGAAAGCAUUCAAGAAAAAGAUGUUCAUCGGGGAUGCAACAAUAAUCAGAGGAAGUUGCUGUCGUUAUAACUACCGCAGGUUUUGAAGCUAAGAAGAAUAGUAUGACGGAUGUCUAAGAGAAGUUCUUUUAUGAGUGAAAGAUGAAUAUUACAUUUGAAUCAUUUGAUAGAUAAUGAAACAAUGAUAUCUUUGUUUU